CUUGGCCACAACCAGCGGCUGCUGUUUGAUAAAGGAGUUCAGAAGAUGAGGAGGGAAGCCUGGUGCACCCAGCUCCACCUGGAAAGAGAAGGAAGAAGUGAAGGUGUACAGACAGACCUGGAACAGCCACUCUGGCAGUGAUCCCCAAACAAACACUGGAGAAUGGACAGACCACUGGAAUGAGUGGAAACAUACAUCCAGAAGACUGGAUCUGGACCCUCAUCUCUCACCACCACAAAAUUAACUCAGAAUGGAUAGAAAGAUGUUGUUUCCUGAGUGUCUUGCUACACACCACAAGUGACCCUGAACUCAUGGUCCUUCUUCCUCAACAUACCAACCGCUGGGAUAACAGCCAGACCUUAUUUGGAGCACUUCAUGUUUCCAGCUGCUUUCUUGGUUGUAACUAGCUUCUUCUUCAUUCUAAGCUGAAUUCUUCAGAAGCGCCUUUAACCCACUAACCACCACUCUUCCCAGAACUUCCUGCCUACUUCCCAGAAGCCACCAAUCUCCUGCUUCCCCACAUCCCUGACUCCACACGGAAGCCUCUUCCUCCCACAUUCUGGCCUGUGACAAAUGUGGUCUGAUGAGCGUGUAAAGGGAAUAGGAGCCCAGCUUUGGGCUGGAAGCCCACCCUCCAAGUGGAUCUCCAUCAGAGCUGCCAGAGUCUAAGAUCUGGCCCAGGUUUCAGGCCUCUCUUAAGGCAGAAGAUCACUUCA